AGAAUCAACGCUGGCGGCGUGCCUAACACAUGCAAGUCGAACGAGAAAGUGGAGCAAUCCAUGAGUAAAGUGGCGACCGGGUGAGUAACACGUGACUAACCUACCUUCGAGUGGGGGAUAACCUCGGGAAACCGGGCUAAUACCGCAUAAUAUCCACGGAUCAAAGGAGCAAUUCGCUUGAAGAGGGGUCGCGGCUGAUUAGUUAGUUGGCGGGGUAAUGGCCCACCAAGACAAUGAUCGGUA
rnacentral:rRNA from 1 species